AUAUCAAUAAGCGGAGGAAAAGAAACCAACAGGGAUUACCUCAGUAACGGCGAGUGAAGCGGUAACAGCUCAAAUUUGAAAUCCGGCCCCUCCCCGGGCCCGAGUUGUAAUUUGCAGAAGAUGCUUUGGGUGCGGCCCCGGUCUAAGUUCCCUGGAACAGGACGUCACAGAGGGUGAGAAUCCCGUAUGCGACCGGGUGCCCGCGCCCGUGUAAAGCUCUUUCAACGAGUCGAGUUGUUUGGGAAUGCAGCUCAAAAUGGGUGGUAUAUUUCAUCUAAAGCUAAAUAUUGGCCAGAGACCGAUAGCGCACAAGUAGAGUGAUCGAAAGAUGAAAAGCACUUUGGAAAGAGAGUUAAACAGUACGUGAAAUUGUUGAAAGGGAAGCGCUUGCAACCAGACUUGCGCGCGGGGGAUCACCCGGUGUUCUCACCGGUGCACUCCGCCGCGCCCAGGCCAGCAUCGGUUUGGGUGGCUGGACAAAGGCCCUGGGAAUGUGGCUCCCUCCGGGGAGUGUUAUAGCCCUCGGUGCAAUGCAGCCUACCUGGACCGAGGACCGCGCUCCGGCUAGGAUGCUGGCGUAAUGGUUGCAAGCGACCCGUCUUGAAACACGGACCAAGGAGUCUAACAUCUAUGCGAGUGUUUGGGUGCCAAACCCACACGCGGAAUUAACGUGAACGGAGGUGAGAACCCUUCAGGGUGCAUCAUCGACCGAUCCUGAUGUCUUCGGAUGGAUUUGAGUAAGAGCAUAGCUGUUGGGACCCGAAAGAUGGUGAACUAUGCCUAAAUAGGGUGAAGCCAGAGGAAACUCUGGUGGAGGCUCGCAGCGGUUCUGACGUGCAAAUCGAUCGUCAAAUUUGGGUAUAGGGGCGAAAGACUAAUCGAACCAUCUAGUAGCUGGUCUGC
rnacentral:rRNA from 1 species